rnacentral:rRNA from 1 species
CUUGGUCAUUUAGAGGAAGUAAAAGUCGUAACAAGGUUUCCGUAGGUGAACCUGCGGAAGGAUCAUUAUUGAAAUAAACCUGAUGGGUUGUUGCUGGCUCUCUAGGGAGCAUGUGCACACCUUGUCAUCUUUAUAUCUCCACCUGUGCACCUUUUAUAGACAUCUUUCCAGGUGUCUAUGUUGAUUCUUCAUUUACCCCAAUGUAUGUCAAUAGAAUGUUGUGUCCAUAAUAUAUACAACUUUCAGCAACGGAUCUCUUGGCUCUCGCAUCGAUGAAGAACGCAGCGAAAUGCGAUAAGUAAUGUGAAUUGCAGAAUUCAGUGAAUCAUCGAAUCUUUGAACGCACAUUGCGCCCCUUGGUAUUCCGAGGGGCAUGCCCGUUCGAGCGUCAUCAACACCAUCAAGCCUGGCUUGGUAUUGGGCCUUGCCUGUAACACGGCCGGCUUUAAAAUCAGUGGCGGUGCCGCCUGGCUCUAAGCGUAGUAACUUUUCUCGCUAUUGUGCCCGGCGGUUGCUUGCCAACAACCCCUAAUUUAAUAGAUUUGACCUCGGAUCGGGUAGGGAUACCCGCUGAACUUAAGCAUAUCAAUAAGCGGAGGA